GAUGAACGCUAGCUACAGGCUUAACACAUGCAAGUCGAGGGGCAGCAUGGUCUUAGCUUGCUAAGACUGAUGGCGACCGGCGCACGGGUGAGUAACACGUAUCCAACCUGCCGUCUACUCUUGGACAGCCUUCUGAAAGGAAGAUUAAUACAAGAUGGCAUCAUGAGUCCGCAUGUUCACAUGAUUAAAGGUAUUCCGGUAGACGAUGGGGAUGCGUUCCAUUAGAUAGUAGGCGGGGUAACGGCCCACCUAGUCUUCGAUGGAUAGGGGUUCUGAGAGGAAGGUCCCCCACAUUGGAACUGAGACACGGUCCAAACUCCUACGGGAGGCAGCAGUGAGGAAUAUUGGUCAAUGGGCGCAGGCCUGAACCAGCCAAGUAGCGUGAAGGAUGACUGCCCUAUGGGUUGUAAAACUUCUUUUAUAAAGGAAUAAAGUCGGGUAUGGAUACCCGUUUGCAUGUACUUUAUGAAUAAGGAUCGGCUAACUCCGUGCCAG
rnacentral:rRNA from 1 species